CAGGAACCGCUUAAAGGGCGAGCGCGGCGGAGCGCGAGAACGCGGCCCGGCCCGGCCCGGCCAGGUCCCCGCCCGGUCCAGCCCAGAGCCCAGGCUGAGCGAAGACAGCCGGUGUGAGAGCACUCUUCAGAUCGGACAUGCCAGUUAGUGUGAGUUUACACGGACACUGCCUUUCCUAACUCAGCGUUAACGAGGUCUCUGCCCAGAAAGAGCCAGGACGGUCGUUGUGUUGGGGUGACUUGUCUGACACCCUCAGCUAGCCACGAUGUAGCGGAGGCUUCAAGGUAGCCUUGUGGCACUCAAUGAAGACAGAUGUGGUAAGACCCGUGUGGGCGUUGUUUGCUCCUGGUCACGUCCGGCACCCGGGCUGCCCGUCAGUGGUCAGUGGUAGAGGAGCCGUGCAGCUGGGAGGAGGUGGUGCGGGAAGCUCCUCGUGGGCGGGGCCCUUGGUAAUGUGAGGUGCCCUGCAGAAGAGCAGAGGGGAGCCCGGCAGGGAACGUCAGAGCCGCUUCAGUAUUCCUCUGUCGGCGCAGCCCUCCCGACACCCGGGUGGCCCGAUCGAGGCUGGCCUUGGUGACCGAAUCCAUAGAGGACCUGUCGUGGCCUGCAGAUUUUUAAAGUGAAACAAGGGGCAUAUAAUCUAUUUUAUCAAGAUUUCAAUCCACAGUGGCAAAGAUAACACGCUUGACCAGAACGGGAGCAACACCGGCUCCCGGACG